AACUCUAUCAGUGUACAUAAAUAGCAACGUAAUUUCGGGAGUACAUAACAUGUAUUCAUAAUGGAUAUAAAUACGAACUAUCACAUUUUAUGAUGAAUUGUUGUCAUGAUUUAUAAUAGUAAUAUGGCAUAUGGAGUGAUACCACCUCGGGUCGUAGACAAUAACAAAUGUAUAAGUGAGAAAAAAAAACGAAGCAAAAAAUGUAGACGUGGACUACGGAUCAUAAAUAAUAACUAGUGAAUUUACAAAAACUGUUUGAAUGAAUGUAGAGCAUAGCCGAAACAAAAAGCUAGAUCUGCAUAGAUUUACAAUACGGACAGGAGAAAAAAAACAAAAAAGUGCAGUUUUACAUAAAUGGAAAACAAUGUACAUGUUAAUUGAUUCCAGUUAUUUAUAUAAGAGUUCCAUUAAAGACGUUGCGAAGGGAUUGCGGGGUGUUGUACACUGCAAUACUAGUACAUUCUUAUGAACAGACGCAAUUAAACUGAACCUCCAAAGAUCAUCCGUAAGAUUUACCUUGGUCCCGAUCGGAUAAUGUUUUGGAGCAGUUAUGGCUUCUAAAGCUGAUGACGAUAUCGAAUUUGAUGUUUUGAUACAGAUCUAGUUGGUGACAUGGAAUGUAAUGGAGAGAAAAUAUGGUCUUUGCAGUUAGGAUUUGUUCACUUUGUUUAUCUUACACAUGCGAGAAGCACGUACGCAAGAUAGAAUUAUGGCCCUUGCAUAUUUUUAAUUUCAGUUUUUCUGCCAUUUACAAUGUACAUAUUGCGUUGAGUUUUGGUAUGCAGUUGUGUGAUAAGGAUCUACAGGCGACGUUGUUGUUUUUUUUUAUUUCUCCAUGAUGAAGGGUUUGCCCUUUAACUUUUAUUUUCGCGAAUGUCUUUGCCAUAUUGAUGUCUCUGUUGUAUUUCUGUACAUUGUGAUCAUUUUUUUUUUCUGUUAAGUCGAAUUGAUAUACAAUGCUAAGUUACUCAUAAAUCAGCCUACCUUGACUUUCAGUACUUUCUAUAACCAUUUUAAAUUGUAAUACGGGAUAAAACAAUAAAUCCUUCAUUUUUUUUAAAUUGAUACACACUUUAAGAAAAUCUUUAAAAGAACAGCUUUAAUUUGAAUUAUACGGACCAUAUAAAACCUCUUGAAACUAAUAAACAGCACAGUGUUUAAGACAGAUAUCAUCUUAUAAGUGUGUUUUAUUCCAACUGCAAUGGUUAUCUUAUGGCGGUAGAAUGUGAAAAAAGUGUUUUCUGAUUGCAGUUUAAAUAAAACGUCCAAAAUAAGACCCCGCAUGUUCAUUCAGCUUUAUUUGCCGUUUAGAAUAUUGAACUUAAAAUAUUGAUAAAACAUGUGGGAAUAUUUACAGUGUCAUAUCCUUCAGUUGUUCGAGUUUCCUCCUGUUGUAUGAUCGGGAAGAUUUUAUAAGAGACUAAACUUUCGUGUGGCAAGAGGCAGUAACCAAAUAACGCUCUGCCGGAAGUCAAUAUACUUGUUCAGUCAAUUUGUACCAAAUUUCUCAUAUAUCCCCUUAUUAGUAAGUCAAUAUGAUAUCAAUGCGUUGAUUGGUUUUGUAGCACGUGGUGGGAUAAUGACAUUCGUUUGCAUUUAGUCGUCAUUUUUACCAUUCGAAUACUGUAAUCAUCAACCAUUGAUAAUAAAACUGAAAUCUAUACAUUUGGGACAAUAAGGAGUCGAAAUAGUCAUGAACAUUAGUUUGACGUUAUAAUUUAGACGCGGUAUGUAACAGAUACAUAACCAUAUGGUUUCUUGCAAUUGCUUAUCUGUAAAGGACAGCAGCCGAAGUAUUCAUUCUUCAUUGCUGUUGAAUCUUCCUGUGGAAGAUAUAAAAAAGCCCUUCUGUUUCACAUAUUCAAACGUAAACACGUCCUACAUGGGGCCUUUUAUGCAUGGAUUUCCACUAUAGAUUCGUAUUUGCUAUACACACUAUCUAAAUUUAAAUGUUUUAACUGUCUGAUAGUAUAUUUUCUGUUACACCAAUUUAGGUUCCAAAACCCGCACUUCACCUUAUGGUUGCAAUCGGUUCUAUAGGACCGGCGAACCCUUUAAUAACGUUUGCAACUACC